ACGGAGGGUGCGAGCGUUAAUCGGAAUCACUGGGCGUAAAGCGCACGUAGGCGGUGUCGUAAGUCGGAUGUGAAAGCCCUCGGCUCAACCGGGGAACUGCAUUCGAUACUGCGACGCUUGAGUGCCGGAGAGGGAGGCGGAAUUCCAGGUGUAGCGGUGAAAUGCGUAGAUAUCUGGCAGAACACCAGUGGCGAAGGCAGCCUCCUGGGCGACAACUGACGCUGAUGCACGAAAGCGUGGGGAUCAAACAG
rnacentral:rRNA from 1 species